CGUUGAUCCAAUUGAACCGCAGGCUUCACCCCUUGUGGUGCUCCCCCGCCAAUUCCUUUAGUUUCAUACUUGCGUACGUACUUCCCAGGCGGCAGACUUAACGGCUUCCCUGCGGCACUGCAUUGGCCACAAGCCAAUGCAUCACCGAGUCUGCAUCGUUUACAGCUGGGACUACCCGGGUAUCUAAUCCGGUUUGCUCCCCCAGCUUUCAUCCCUCACCGUCGAACGUGUUCUGGUACACCGCCUUCGCCACAGGUGGUCUUCAAUAGAUCAAAGGAUUUUACCCCUUCCUAUCGAGUACCGUGUACCUCUCCCACUCCCUAGCUGCACAGUAUUUUCGGCGGCCUAUACGUUAAGCGCAUAGAUUUAACCGAAAACUUAUGCAACCGGCUACGGAUGCUUUAGGCCCAAUAAACCUCCUGACCACUCGAGGUGCUGGUUUUACCGCGGCGGCUGACACCAGAACUUGCCCACCCCUUAUUCACCAGUGAUUCUACAACUGACAAAAGACUCCUUUAGCAGGAGACACUCGGAUUAACCUUGUCGUGCUUUCGCACAUUGCAAAGGUUUCUCGCCUGCUGCGCCCCAUAGGGCCUGGGUCCGUGUCUCAGUACCCAUCUCCGGGCCCCU
rnacentral:rRNA from 1 species